rnacentral:rRNA from 1 species
CCUACGGGUGGCAGCAGUCGAGAAUCAUUCACAAUGGGGGAAACCCUGAUGCUGCGACGCCGCGUGGGGGAAUGAAGGUCUUCGGAUUGUAAACCCCUGUCAUGUGGGAGCAAAUUAAAAAGAUAGUACCACAAGAGGAAGAGACGGCUAACUCUGUGCCAGCAGCCGCGGUAAUACAGAGGUCUCAAGCGUUGUUCGGAAUCACUGGGCGUAAGGCGUGCGUAGGCUGUUUCGUAAGUCGUGUGUGAAAGGCGCGGGCUCAACCCGCGGACGGCACAUGAUACUGCGAGACUAGAGUAAUGGAGGGGGAACCGGAAUUCGCGGUGGAGCAGUGAAAUGCGUAGAUAUCGAGAGGAACACUCGUGGCGAAGGCGGGUUCCUGGACAUUAACUGACGCUGAGGCACGAAGGCCAGGGGAGCGAAAGGGAUUAGAUACCCUAGUAGUC